rnacentral:tRNA from 1 species
GGAGGUAUAGCUCAGUGGUAGAGGGCAAACUUAGCAUCCACGAGGUCCUGGGUUCAAUCUCCAAUACCUUCA